rnacentral:rRNA from 1 species
UACGUAGGGGGCUAGCGUUGUCCGGAUUUAUUGGGCGUAAAGAGCGUGUAGGCGGCCAGGUAGGUCUGCUGUGAAAACUCGAGGCUUAACCUCGAGAUGUCAUCGGAAACCAUUUGGCUAGAGUCCGGAAGAGGAAAGUGGAAUUCCUGGUGUAGCGGUGAAAUGCGUAGAUAUCGAGAGGAACACCUGCGGCGAAGGCGGGUAGCUGGGCCGACACUGACGCUGAUGCGCGAAAGCCAGGGGAGCGAACGGG